rnacentral:lncRNA from 1 species
ACUGACAGAUCGAAUCUAGGCCGUUCGAUUCACCUUGAUGAAUGAAUGGAAAGGUAGUUACAGCAAAGCAUGACACAAGCCCAUGAUGAGUUUUGGGGGGGUGGUCAUGUGAAGGCAUUUAAGAGAGUAUAUACUAUUUUACAGCGCAACAAAGAGGUCUCAGGACCAACUUACCAUUUUUCAAUUCAUUCGUUUAGUAAAACACAACAUAGUGAAAUAGUGCUGAUUGAUCAAGAAAGCUCAUAUGUUCGUGGCAAUUGUUCUACUUAUGAACAAAAAUGAUGUCUCUGCUAACAAGAACUAAUUCAAGCUGGAAAGGAUAAAUAAAUAUCGGAUGUCAGCUUUUACUAAUAGGGCACAGAUAUUUUAAUUUUUUCACUUCAUGCAUGCGUCAGGUUUAGGCAUAAUUUU